UAGUAAGUCAUCUAGGCUUUUGUGAAGAGAAAGAGGGAGAAAGAAACAAGCAACUUAAAUAUGGAACACCUGAAAGAUCAGCCAUGGAUGGCAUCUGCAGAUCAGCUGUGUAACAACUUCUAAUAUAAUCAAGGACAACAUCUCAAUUGGUAGAAUAGAAUAUAGAAUCUACUUCAGUAGGUUCUUACAGCCCCUCUCUUUUGUUAAUGAUACAUUUAUUUCAAUUUAUUUUUUUUAAAUAAGCCUUUAAUAGUUACUUGGGAACACUUUGGCCUUAUCCACUGCAACAACUUGCUCCAUUGCAGUUACAUCUGACAAUAGAAAAACCCAAACAAAUGCUCCUGGUUGCUCAUUCCCACAGAUUUAUUUUGGUUUCAAAAUGUUAAUAAAUUAGCUGGAAUGCUCUCAGGAUGCUUUUAUGAGCAGCUGCAGAGCAGCAGAACUUUGUGCACAGCUGGACAAUGUUUGUGUGAAGCCCAACCACAGAAAGCACUCACAGACAGCUGAGUUACAGUUCUCAUCAUGCCUUGUAGCUUUGUCUCCAAAAUGAAGCAUGCUUCAGCUGUUUUAACAACAUUUUCCAUAGAGUCUAAGCACUUUUUGACAAGUGUGGUGGGUUUUUUUAACAAUGUAUUUUGGAAGAAUUUAUACCAUUAUUUUGGAAAUUGUGCAAUAUCAUGAAUGGUUGACUACAACAAAAGAAAAACUGAUUUCAUGUGAUCUGUGAACAACUGCAGUGCAUAAGUAGAAGUCCAAAACUUUUUUCUGAGUAAUCUGUAUUUCUGCUUUUUCAGACUUUCAGGUGAUCCCUGAAAAUAGCAGCAUAUUCUGAAAUAUCCAGAUUUUCCGCAUUUCAAUAUUUCAUAAGCUCAACAUUAUUCUUAUUUCAGCAGUUACAUUCAGCUGGCUUGUGCAUAAUUUGAAAAAUGCUAAUGUUAAAGUAUUAUAAUUCUAAUUCUCAGGUGCCUCUAACUAAAGGUUUCUCAAGAUUGACUAGAUUUCUACACAACUGUGAAAUCUGUUCAGUUACAGAUCUCAAAUCCUACCCAAGGACUGGGGGACAGGAGAGAAUGUGAAGUAAACAACCUUUCUGUGGGCUCUUUGUGAACCUUGCAAGAACUUGGUAUCACUGAGGUGACUAAGGAGCUGCCUGAGGGAAAGUGGGACACUUCACAGCAGGUCUUUGUAGAAAAAAAAUCACUUAAAGUGAACAGAUCUACACAAAUGGAAGUGUCAGCCCUGGAAUCACAACCUACAAGACAUUUUUGCUUUCUUAGCUUGUUCUCUUUUCUCUGUACAGAGCAGCACUGGAUAAGUGAUGCAUCAUCUGGGCCUUAAAGCAGGUUGAUGUGAUACACUUCGUUACCAGAGCAUCUGCCAUACAUUUUCUGCCAUUGUUCUGGUGAUUGCUGACUCUCCCUGAAUCACAAAGAGAAUAAUUUAACACUUAAUGCAAAAUUCUUAUUAAUCAGAAUGGUACUUCGUGUAAAUAGAAACUACAAAUGUCUACUGAAAAGGUCCCACAGGCUAAUCUGAAAAGUAUUUGAGAUCAAAAGUACAGAAGAAGUAUUUGAGAUAUUAUUAAAGUUCUGAAUUCCACAAACAGCUGGGAAGACAACAGGAUUAUUUGAACCUCCUUAACAGUGCUGAAGGAAAAUUCCCUGACAGCUGUUAGGAACAGUGCUCUUCUUUUAAUGUGCAUGUAAUAUGAAAUAACUGGAACAGGCUCUGGAUUCUGUGCAUGUCACAGCAUUAAAAGGUAGGCAGAUACAAAAUGGAUAAAGAAUGUACUUCACCACAGUGCUCAGCAGGUAUCCAAACAACAUUUUGUUGUGUUUCUUCUAGGAGAUUCUAGUGCACAGUGCCACUAAAAUCUUGACAUUUGCUGUUCUCAGUUGUAACAGUUCUAGGAUGAAUUUCUGUUUUCCCCAUUCUGGGCAAAAGGGAAUACUAGAAAUGUCAUAUAGAAGGUUAAAUAACUCUGCUUAUAAAUAAACACAUACUGAGUUCAUGGUUACUUGAAAAAGAAGUUAGCAUGUUACAAGACUUAUGUAGUGUAUGUGCAGCUAUUCCAUUUCUACAAAUAUAUUUAGAGAGUCACUCUUUAUUGCAGCUGUGUGCCCACGACAUUUCAAUCAAGAAUACCUUAUUAUUCCAAGAAUACAGCAUAAAAGCGAUACACCAGAUCUGGUAAAAUUAUUUUAGUGAAUUGAGGGAAGUUCUACUGUGACUAUGCAGUCUGCAGAGACACCAUAAUUCUGCACCCCUUCCAGCACUGUGGUCAUGUUAAAAAUAAAAAUCAUCUAUAUUUGUUUGCCUCUUAACAUACAGGCACAGAAGAGCAAAUACCAUAUGUCAUCAAAAACCUCUUUUUUUUUUU